UCUUGUAGAUGGCAGUAUCUAGGAAA
rnacentral:sRNA from 1 species